rnacentral:rRNA from 1 species
UGAGGAAUAUUGGACAAUGGGCGCAAGCCUGAUCCAGCCAUGCCGCGUGCAGGAAGACGGUCCUAUGGAUUGAAACCUGCUUUUAUACAGGAAGAAACACCUCUACGUGUAGAGACUUGACGGUACUGUAUGAAUAAGCAACGGCUCGCUCCGCGCCAGCAGCCGCGGUAAUACGGAGGAUGCAAGCGUAAUCCUGAAUCAUUGGGUUUAAAGGGUCCGUAGGCGGCCAACUAAGUCAAUGGUGAAAGC